ensembl:lncRNA
AUGGACCAGAAUCAAGUGAAAGAGGCAGAAUGUUCACCAGGAACUAACCAGAUUAACUCUCACCGAGGGGGUUUCAAUAAUCAUCUGACAAAUAGGUGUGGUGGAUUGAGGCCAGAGACACAGCCCUCUAUUUCACUCUGCCCUCCAUCUGUCCAUCUCCUAUUUUCCGUUCUUUCUCAAUCUCCUCUUUUCUCCGCUUUUUUUUGUCUUGUGCCAGGUCCUCAUCCAGGAUACCAGCUGCGACCCCUGCAGCCCUACCUCCUCUCCUCUUUGCCAGGCUUUGGCUCUGUUUUUCUAAUGAGAGAUGGAAGGGCAGGAAGCGAUGAGGCAUGGCUGAAAAGGGAGAGGAGGCAAAUAAAUCAGAGAUCACAUUUCAAUUUGGGGACACUGGAUGCUUCUGUGACAAUAUCUGAACACUGGAUGGACCAAGCAGUACUGCAGUUGGAAUACCUGCUUUUUUUUUAGAUUUUCAAUGGAUUUAUUCAUCCUUUUAGGACUCAUAUAUUUUAAAUGUAUUGUAAAUAUUGUUAUUAAAUAGAAAGAAAAAUCUUCCACUUGGUCUCAGCUGCCCAGAGGGGCGAACUGUGUGUGAUUGACACCAGCUGACUGUCUGCCAGACUGUCAGUGUUGCAUUGUAGAAAGUCUGACUCACUGGAUGAAGACUGUUGGUAUAAGCCUGCCAAUGGGCCACAGUUUCAGUUGGCAUUCCCCUUCUGCUAUCAGUGUGUUACCGUGCUACCUGUCUCUAUGGGGAGAUGACAACAACCUCCAAGCUAUCAACCCUGAAGUUACCCUAACUUCAAGCUGGUCACUAAGGGUAAAAACCCUAGCAAGCAAGAUGCUAUUACCUCUUUUUUUUUUCUUUUAGUCAUGUUGAUGCUAGAGCCGACCUCCUCACAUGCAAAACAAAUGUGUUCAUAAAUAAAUGUAUGUUUACCAAAAAUUUUGUUUUUGCGAGUUUACUGAAGCAGUAACAGCUGGAGGCUGCACUUGCAGGCAGUGGCAUCUAACUUUCUCAAAGAUGUUGGCAUUAACAUGUUUUAGCUUUUGAACAAUAGCUUAAUACCACAGAAUAAUUGUUCACUGACAGUACAAUGUUGCAGAAACUAUAUUUGACCUUCAAAACCAAGAAACUACGCAGCCCUAAGGACAAUCCACUCCUACUUCUCAAAAAUAAGCUAAGACUGGACCAGACCAGACAGACAUCUUUAACUGAAGAAAGGGGUCUGAAGCUAGUUUUUGAUUCUGAGCUGCCACUUUCAUAAACUAGUUUGAUGAAAUUUGGGAACUGACAGAUGAGAGGAAGGUACAAAAAUUAGACUAAUACUGGGAGAUAGGGAGGGGAUGACUGACUGUUGGCUAGCCAGAAUGAAAAGACUAAGAGAUGUGCAGCUAAACUAAACAGCCACACAUAUGCCAGGUGCAUUGAAGUGUCCAAAAUGCACACUAUCAAAGUAAGCAAGCAAACUCACCCUGCACCCAAAAUGUUGUAGCUUUAACAACACAGCCAGAGGUGCAGAUGCUGUCCCUACUGGAGCCACCCUCACUGAAAAUAGGCCCCUAUGGAAUUUAUUUGUAUAAAAG